UGAAUACGAGACGCUAAGGCGUCGAAGUAGUGUAUGUCAUACUUCCAAGAAAAGCUUGCACUGUCAUAGAUAAAAAACGCCUGUACCAUAACCGACACAGGUGGGUAGGUAGAGUAUACUAAGGGGCGCGAGAUAACUCUCUCUAAGGAACUCGGCAAAAUAACUCCGUAACUUCGGGAGAAGGAGUGCCUUAUUCGUAAGGUUGCAAUAACAAGAUCCAAGCAACUGUUUAUCAAAAACACAGGUCUCCGCUAAGUCGUAAGACGAUGUAUGGGGGCUGACGCCUGCCCAGUGCCAGAAGGUUAAAGAAGUUGGUUAGCAAUUGCGAAGCUGAUAACUGAAGCCCUGGUGAACGGCGGCCGUAACAAUAACGGUCCUAAGGUAGCGAAAUUCCUUGUCGGGUAAGUUCCGACCCGCACGAAAGGCGUAAUGAUUUGGAUACUGUCUCGGAGAGGGGCUCGGUGAAAUAGACUUGUCUGUGAAGAUGCGGACUACCUGCACCAGGACAGAAAGACCCUAUGAAGCUUUACUGUAACUUGAAAUUGAAAUUGGACUUUAUUCGCGCAGUAUAGGUGGGAGGCGUUGAUUAUAAUCUUGUGGGAUUAUUGGAGCCAUCAGUGAGAUACCACUCUUGUAAUGUUAGAUUUCUAACUUUGAAUCAUUAUCUGGUCAAAGAACAGUUUCAGGCGGGCAGUUUGACUGGGGCGGUCGCCUCCUAAACGGUAACGGAGGCGUACAAAGGUUUCCUCUGAACGGUUAGAAAUCGUAUCUAGAGUGUAAAGGCAUAAGGAAGCUUGACUGUGAGACCUACAAGUCGAGCAGGGACGAAAGUCGGUCUUAGUGAUCUGACGGUACUGAGUGGAAAGGCCGUCACUCAACGGAUAAAAGUUACUCUAGGAUAACAGGCUGAUCUCCCCCAAGAGUUCACAUCGACGGGGAGGUUUGGCACCUCGAUGUCGGCUCAUCGCAUCCUGGGGCGGUAGUACGUCCCAAGGGUUGGGCUGUUCGCCCAUGAAAGCGGUACGCGAGCUGGGUUCAGAACGUCGUGAGACAGUUCGGUCCAUAUCCGGUGUAGGCGUUAGAAUAUUGAGAGGAGCCUUCUUUAGUACGAGAGGACCGAGAAGGACAUACCUCUGGUGUACCAGUUAUCGUGCCAACGGUAAACGCUGGGUAGCUAUGUAUGGAGUGGAUAACCGCUGAAAGCAUCUAAGUGGGAAGCCCACCUCAAGAUAAGUAUUCU
rnacentral:rRNA from 1 species